rnacentral:rRNA from 1 species
AGCGAACGCUGGCGGCAGGCCUAACACAUGCAGGUCGAACGAACCUUUCGGGGUUAGUGGCGGACGGGUGAGUAACACGUGGGAACGUGCCUUUAGGUUCGGAAUAACUCAGGGAAACUUGUGCUAAUACCGAAUGUGCCCUACGGGGGAAAGAUUUAUCGCCUUUAGAGCGGCCCGCGUCUGAUUAGCUAGUUGGUUGAGGUAAUGGCUCACCAAGGCGACGAUCAGUAGCUGGUCUGAGAGGAUGAUCAGCCACAUUGGGACUGAGACACGGCCCAAACUCCUACGGGAGGCAGCAGUGGGGAAUCUUGCGCAAUGGGCGAAAGCCUGACGCAGCCAUGCCGCGUGAAUGAUGAAGGUCUUAGGAUUGUAAAAUUCUUUCACCGGGGACGAUAAUGACGGUACCCGGAGAAGAAGCCCCGGCUAACUUCGUG